CAGUAGCCGCGGGAAUACGUAGGGUGCAAGCGUUAAUCGGAAUUACUGGGCGUAAAGCGUGCGCAGGAGGUUAUAUAAGACAGAUGUGAAAUCCCCGGGCUCAACCUGGGAACUGCAUUUGUGACUGUAUAGCUAGAGUACGGCAGAGGGGGAUGGAAUUCCGCGUGUAGCAGUGAAAUGCGUAGAUAUGCGGAGGAACACCGAUGGCGAAGGCAAUCCCCUGGGCCUGUACUGACGCUCAUGCACGAAAGCGUGGGGAGCAAACAGGAUUAGAGACCCGGGUAGUCCCUGUCUCUUAUAA
rnacentral:rRNA from 1 species